rnacentral:rRNA from 1 species
GAUGAACGCUGGCGGUAUGCUUAACACAUGCAAGUCGAACGGACUCUUCGGAGUUAGUGGCGGACGGGUGAGUAACGCGUGAGAAUCUGGCUUUGGGUUCGGGACAACCACUGGAAACGGUGGCUAAUACCGGAUGUGCCGAGAGGUAAAAGAGAAAUUGCCUGAAGAUGAGCUCGCGUCUGAUUAGCUAGUUGGUGAGGUAAAGGCUCACCAAGGCAGCGAUCAGUAGCUGGUCUGAGAGGAUGACCAGCCACACUGGGACUGAGACACGGCCCAGACUCCUACGGGAGGCAGCGGGGGAGAAUGUGCCGCAAUGGUCGAAAGCCUGACGGAGCAAUUCCGCGUGAGGGAAGAAGGCUCUGGGGUUGUAAAACUCUUUUCUUAGGGAAGAACAAAAUGACGGUACCUAAGGAAUCAGCAUCGGCUAACUCCGUG